GGCUCACUCAGGCGGAGGCUAUGCGUCUCACCUGUGGUCACGAGUUGUUAGUUCGUUCGUGAUGUAGGAAUUCAGGCUCACUCAGGCGGAGGCUAUGCGUCUCACCUGUGGUCACGAGUUGUUAGUUCGUUCGUGAUGUAGGAAUUCAAGCUUUCGGGCGGAAGCUAUGGCCGACGCCAGAGGCCACGAGUCGUUUAAUUUAAGUUAGGUCAUAAUGUAGUCAUCUUCAAGCUUUCGGGCGGAGGCUAUGGCCCUCGUCAGGGGUCACGCGUCAUAGUUUUUAAAAUGUAAUGUUCGUUCGGGAUUUCAAGGGCAGGAGAGGCCCCUACGUUAUUUUUUUAAAGUAAUCGAUCAAGAAAGGCUUUUCGGAAAAUGUGAGUAUGGACUUAUCUUUGUUUUAAUUUUAAGUAUUAAUUAUGAUUUGAGGUAUUCGGAAGGACUAGGGAAGUGUUUAGUGAAGUUCUCUCAUUCUCUCUCUUGUAAGGUCGUUCAAUCGUUAAGGAAGUAAAGAGAUUAUUGUUUUAAAUUGUAAUCCCGCUAUUUAAAUGUUCUUUAAAAUGAUGUUGAGUAUUUGACUUUAAGAAUAAAAUAAUUUUAAUUAAGUAUUAUGUUAUUUUGCAAAAUCUCCUUAGUUCAGCUCUCACCAGACAUCCUGUACGGGAUGACGAACCUAUGAUCCUAGGUACAGUAAAGUAUUUUAUGAAGUUAAGACUAGUUGAUGCCAAGCGAGUUGUUUCUAUGUAAAGAGCUACGAUUCUCGCCCCCCCCCCUCUGAAGGUGGAUCGUGACAGAAAUGGCGGUGGCACCGGCUAGGUGCACGUGAAAGAAAUGGUAGAGUUCGCCGGAUAGGUUCUAUUUCUGGAGAGAGAGAGAGGUAGAUUUUUAUGUUUAUUAUUAAGUUAGUUUCAGCUUCUGAUAGCAGGUUAUUAAGAGUUUACUUGAGGAGAGGAUUACGGAAUUUUAGUCUAUAGUGGAGGAAGUCUUUGAGAUUUUUUUUUUGACGUAACAGAUGUUUAUUUGAGGAUACUUGUAAGGAUAAAGUUUAUAGUGAUAAGUUGUUUUAAGUCGUUGAAUUUAUUGUAGAUUUAUAUCGGGGAUUAUUACGUGAGGAGAAUACGUUAUAAGUUAAAUGCUUAUUAGAGAUAAUGCAAGUGGUUUAAUUUAAUUGAAGUUCAUUUUAAGAUUGUAGGUUAAGAGAAUUAUAAUUUAAAAUAAAGUUUUUUGUCGUAAAUAGGAAUUAUUUUCAAGAGAAGUUUGUUUUGUUUUCGUGCGCGUAGGAGACGAGACGUACGAAUUAAAUCAGUCGAGGGAAGGAUAAACGUUAGAAAGGAAUUAAAGAGAAAACGAGAGUUUAUGUAAAAGAGAGUUAUAGAAUUUAUAGUGAUGUUUUGUUUUAAUUAGAAAAAUGUUGAGAGUUGUUUCAGAACGACACGUCAGUGGACGUGGCAGAGUGAACACGUGACGGGGAGGUGCUGAGACCUAGCGGAGAACGGAGGAACCGCAAACGAGGGUUGGCGCACCUGAUGGAAUUCGGUGACGUCACGGGCUCAUACGGAGACGUGGACAGGCCGUGACCUUGUUUUGAUCAGCUGUACGGUAACUUAGCGAUAAGAAAAUAGACUAUUGGUUAAAUAAAUUUAAAUUUAAGUGUGUUUUAGAAGAAGAGGAACUUUCAGUAUAUUCCUUAAGAUGAGCUGAGCAGCAGUCCAGUUUACAAGAUGACAAGAGUUCGAGAGACAAGAUACAAGAUCACUGAAACAAGAGCCAAGACUGAAGAUACAAGAGAAGAGAAAGCUGGCAGCCAUGGACUUACAAGUGGAGAUUAAUAAGGUUAUGUAAAGUUUUAUUUUUUUAUGGAAGACAGUAACUGGAGUUUUUUUUUGUUAUAAACAUUAUUUACAGAACUUUUUAGGUUAUAGUAAUGUAAUGGAACUAGUGAGUUGUGGUAGCUGUCAAAAAGAACUAAUACCUUAAGUUUAAUUUUUAAAGUUAAUUUUCUUAAUUUACAGAGGGAUUAGUAGUUUUUUUUAAACCUUAUUUAGGUUGGAAUUUAAAUACAAUAGCUUAUUAUAAAUGUGUACGAACAGUUCAAGUUCACAGUACUGAUAGGUAGGUCAGAUGAUCUUAUUGAUUUUGAUGAUUUGUUGUUUUGAGUUGAUUUUUAAGUGUUGUGAAUUAGACAAUGAAAUAGUUCUGAAAACUUAAAUUAUUUCAAGCUAAGAAAUAGUAAAGUUAAUUGUAACUCAAAGGACACCAGAAUUUAAUUUUUUUUUGAAUUAGUAAUGUUUGAAAAUUUUAUACUUUACAAGAAAGGUUAUAAACAAACAGAUCGGAUGGAACAAGGAUGCAGUAAAUCACAAUUUCAUUUAGAAUUAUUGAUUAGCUUUUGAGGUUAUGAAGUAAAAGUAAUUAUAGUUUAAAAGUUUGAAUAAAAAAAAAUGUUUUUUUUUAUUUGUUUGAAAUAGAAAGUUUAAAAGUUAAUUAGUCAUGAUCUAGGUGGGUGAUGGGGUGGGAAUUGGCCACUCUUUUUCCCUAUAACCUCCCUAACAUGGCCUUCUAUUACAACUAACAGAAAUAAAGAAGAAGAAAAAUGAAGAAUUAUUAGUUAGAAUGUUUCUUUCAUGAAGAUACCUGAUGAACUUUUACUGUUUGGAAGAAUAGAAGCAAGGUUAGUCAGAUAUUUUUACUCAGAAGAAGAAGAAGAUAAAGCAGUUUUAUGACUCGACAAGCCAGAGAUUGGUGUUUCCCCUCUGCGCUUCUAUUGACUACGUUGUUUACUCUCAUGGGAUAGCUGGUUCGGCACCAUGGAGAGAGAUUGGUGGGCAUUGUGGUUGCCCCCAGAAGAAAAGAAGAGUAGAAGAGGUUAUGGGUGGGUCAUGUGAACUGACCUUCAACCCAGUUACUUCGUGGGGACUAUUUGCUGUAUAGAGAAGAUCAAGACUCAAGAGUUAGGGAAAAUCAUUGGAGGUCAUGUUUCCCUUCCUUAAGUUUUUCCUAUCAAAUUAUUUGCCUGAUUAGAUUAUGCUAAGGGUGGGAUACUUUAUGUUAGCAGUUGAAUUAAUUAAUUUUAUUUUUUUGUGUGUUUGCAUCCUUGCCCAUCGAUUGCAGUUUAGUAGUUAGUUUUGUAUUUGUCAGGCGUGAUGGUAAUGCCUGUUGAUGAUGUUUCAGAAUUGUAAUCUGUUCGUGAUGAGGAUGGCACAACUCCGAAGCAGAUGUGGGGAGAAGUUGUGAGCUGCCCUGGAAGCCAGUCCAGUAGCUGUUGGAGUUGAGUGGUGUUUGCUGAUGGCCAGCCCAGGGAGCUACUCUUCUCGACAACACUGACUUCAAGGAGUUGCACCAACCUUCACGAGAUAAGAGUUUAAUUAAUUUGAAACACUGAUAAUUUUGUAAGGACACUUAAUUUUUUUUAAGAACAAAAGAAGUAUUGUGACAAACGGAAACUGGAAAAAAAAAUAAUAAUUAUCAAGAAUUUGCACAUUGUUUAACGAAUACUGAGAAACUAAGAACAGUAAUUUAAUUUGUAAAGAGAGCUUCACUAACAGAACAAUUUUUUUUGAAUUGAGAACUCGAGCCUCUGAAGGUUCCUGUGAGAACAAACCAGAUAAAAGUUUUACAUUUAAUUUUAUGAAUACUUGUUGUUUUAAAAUAAAUCUUAUGCAGAAUCUAGAUGUAUGUUCAGACAGCAAGGAACUAAGAAAAUUAUUAUUUUUGUGAAAUGAGGAAUUUAUAGUUAUGGUUUAAUGGAAAAAGACAAUUUGUAAUGUUGAGGUAGCUCGAUGGGGCUCGAGCUCUGUGAGGGGAGGGUUAUGUCGCGGGUUGAAAUUUUGCAGGGUUGUUGAAAUCAAAUUUAGGGACUUUACUGACGGGACUCUGGGCUGGCUGCUCUGUUCACUCGUCAGCGCAAGUGGCGUGACCAUGUAAUUGGGGCACGGGGCCGGCGCGGCGCGCUGCGGGCUUGCAGAAUUUUGUUUGUUUGUUUGGCCGCGCGCUGGCGCAGCCACGGGCCGCAGUUACUGGGGCGCGCUGUCGUAACAAGCCGCGCGGUGUGGCCUGCACAUCGGGGUAGAGGGGGGGGUAGUCUUCCCAGAUGUUCUAGUUAGUUGUUUAGUAAAUUUGACUUCAAUAACGAGCUUUUGUUAUGGUAGGCGCGGCAGGGCGCGCGAAUUUAAGCGCAAGUGAGUGGUGACUCGGAGCUCACUCAGGCGGAGGCUAUGCGUCUCACCUGUGGUCACGAGUUGUUAGUUCGUUCGUGAUGUAGGAAUUCAGGCUCACUCAGGCGGAGGCUAUGCGUCUCACCUGUGGUCACGAGUUGUUAGUUCGUUCGUGAUGUAGGAAUUCAGGCUCACUCAGGCGGAGGCUAUGCGUCUCACCUGUGGUCACGAGUUGUUAGUUCGUUCGUGAUGUAGGAAUUCAGGCUCACUCAGGCGGAGGCUAUGCGUCUCACCUGUGGUCACGAGUUGUUAGUUCGUUCGUGAUGUAGGAAUUCAAGCUUUCGGGCGGAAGCUAUGGCCGACGCCAGAGGCCACGAGUCGUUUAAUUUAAGUUAGGUCAUAAUGUAGUCAUCUUCAAGCUUUCGGGCGGAGGCUAUGGCCCUCGUCAGGGGUCACGCGUCAUAGUUUUUAAAAUGUAAUGUUCGUUCGGGAUUUCAAGGGCAGGAGAGGCCCCUACGUUAUUUUUUUAAAGUAAUCGAUCAAGAAAGGCUUUUCGGAAAAUGUGAGUAUGGACUUAUCUUUGUUUUAAUUUUAAGUAUUAAUUAUGAUUUGAGGUAUUCGGAAGGACUAGGGAAGUGUUUAGUGAAGUUCUCUCAUUCUCUCUCUUGUAAGGUCGUUCAAUCGUUAAGGAAGUAAAGAGAUUAUUGUUUUAAAUUGUAAUCCCGCUAUUUAAAUGUUCUUUAAAAUGAUGUUGAGUAUUUGACUUUAAGAAUAAAAUAAUUUUAAUUAAGUAUUAUGUUAUUUUGCAAAAUCUCCUUAGUUCAGCUCUCACCAGACAUCCUGUACGGGAUGACGAACCUAUGAUCCUAGGUACAGUAAAGUAUUUUAUGAAGUUAAGACUAGUUGAUGCCAAGCGAGUUGUUUCUAUGUAAAGAGCUACGAUUCUCGCCCCCCCCCCUCUGAAGGUGGAUCGUGACAGAAAUGGCGGUGGCACCGGCUAGGUACACGUGACAAU